rnacentral:rRNA from 1 species
AUUGAACGCUGGCGGCAGGCCUAACACAUGCAAGUCGAGCGAGCGGCGGACGGGUGAGUAAUGUAUGGGGACUGCCCGAUAGAGGGGGAUAACUACUGGAAACGGUAGCUAAUACCGCAUACUAUCGGAUAACCCCUAUGGGAUUAGCUAGUUGGUGAGGUAAUGGCUCACCAAGGCGACGAUCCCUAGCUGGUCUGAGAGGAUGAUCAGCCACACGGGGACGGGGACACGGCCCAGACUCCGACGGAGGCAGCAGUGGGGAAUAUGGCACAAUGGGCGCAAGCCUGAUGCAGCCAUGCUGCGUGUAUGAAGAAGGCCCUAGGGUUGUAAACCUCUUUCGCUAUCGAACGGGUAGGUGGAGAAGAAGCGCCGGCUAACUACGUGCCAGCAGCCGCGGUAAUUC